GGGGAAUUAGCUCAGCUGGGAGAGCGCAUCGCUGGCAGCGAUGAGGUCAGGGGUUCGAGCCCCCUAUUCUCCAUCA
rnacentral:tRNA from 1 species